rnacentral:rRNA from 1 species
UUAUCUAAACUCCCAACCCUUUGUGAACCUUACCGUCGUUGCCUCGGCGGGCUGUACUUACCCUGUAGCUACCCUGUAGCUACCCGGUAGGUGCGCUCCAAGCCCGCCGGUGGACCACUAAAUUCUAUUUUACUACUGUAUCUCUGAAUGCUUCAACUUAAUAAGUUAAAACUUUCAACAACGGAUCUCUUGGUUCUGGCAUCGAUGAAGAACGCAGCGAAAUGCGAUAAGUAAUGUGAAUUGCAGAAUUCAGUGAAUCAUCGAAUCUUUGAACGCACAUUGCGCCCAUUAGUAUUCUAGUGGGCAUGCCUAUUCGAGCGUCAUUUCAACCCUUAAGCCUAGUUGCUUAGUGUUGGGAAUCUGCCCUGUAUUUAUAGGGCAGUUCCUUAAAGUGAUCGGCGGAGUUAGGGCAUACUCUAAGCGUAGUAAUAUUCUUCUCGCUUCUGUAGUUGUCCUGGCGGCUUGCCGUUAAACCCCUAUAUUUCUAGUGGUUGACCUCGGAUUAGGUAGGAAUACCCGCUGAACUUAAGCAUAUCAAUAAGCGGAGGAAAAGAAACCAACAGGGAUUGCCCUAGUAACGGCGAGUGAAGCGGCAACAGCUC